rnacentral:rRNA from 1 species
GUGGAUUAGAUACCCGGGUAGUCCAUGCCGUAAACGAUGUCAACUAACCGUUGGGUUUCUUUGAAACUUAGUGGUGGAGCUAACGUAUUAAGUUGACCGCCUGGGGAGUACGGUCGCAAGACUAAAACUCAAAUGAAUUGACGGGGGCCCGCACAAGCGGUGGAGCAUGUGGUUUAAUUCGAUGCAACGCGAAGAACCUUACCUACCCUUGACAUCCAGAGAAUCUGUUAGAGAUAGUAGAGUGCCUUCGGGAGCUCUGAGACAGGUGCUGCACGGCCGUCGACAACU